ensembl:lncRNA
CUCUCUCUGGAGAUUUCUCUUCUUGGAGUCUUUUCAGUGAGCCCAGGACAUGGCAGACGGAGAAGAGAAGAAGCACCUGCCUGCCCUCCCUCUCAAGCCCCCUGGUUUGUCUACUUAAUUUGCUGCAAAAUUGGAGGAAGCUCUAGAAAAAGUGGCUGGUUCAACUCACUGGACUUUGGCAAAUCACUUGGUCUGUGUCAGUUUCCCAGGUGCUAUCUGCAGAGAAGAUUGUAAACCUUGAAAUCAGCCUAAAUCUGGAGCUGCUUUUCCACAUGGAAUAAAAUCAAUGACCUUUCAUUCCACUGUUCACUUUCAAGGCAGGGGAACUUCUGGAUACAGCUCGUAAAUACCUGUUUCAGUGAAAAUUCACAACACUGGUACCAAUGCACCCUUCUUUCAAGCUGAGUUAUGAAAGAAGCCCUACUGCAGAAAACAAAUGAUUGAAACGUGUUACUGAAGCCAGUCGUCAAGGCCAGUGUUUCUAUAGGUGUGGUGUCUAAAUACCUGGCACUUGAUGUCUGCUUGGCUUACACUCGCAAGCUGUCUGCCCUCUUCAGAGAGAGUGAAAGAGACCCUCUCCAGGGUAUUCCUCAGAGCACUGAGCUUGUGUGGUGCUGGCCAGCAACUGUGUCUUCAGGAAGUGACACAUUCUUGGAAGUUUUGAAUGGAUUAAGCAGAAAUGGAUGAGAGGAAUAAAUAUUUUCAAGUUCUACGGUUCACAGAAUUUUGUAUGUACUGAACAAGCUCAGCAGUAAAGAAUGCUUAGAGGGAAGACGUAAUGGGCUAAUUUUUUUCCCCCCAUCUUUUUACAGUCAGUUCUGUGUCAAAAUUUUAUUUUUUCUGAGAUCUGAAAGAAUUGUACUGUUGCUUAACAUGUAGAAAACAGAGAACUGAGUUAAUAUGGAUUUUUCUGUUGCUUGAACAAGGCCUGUUGAUGGCAAGUCUGAAAUAAGCUUGUGAAUGAAGUGAAAUAGAGGACCGAACUUUUUCUACCUCCUGACCAGAAAGGGUAGAACAGUUACCCACCGGAAACUUUGUGUUUCAAAUGGGAAUAAAAGCCAGAGCUAUUGCAGUGAACUUGUCUGUCCUUGUAGAGGUAGUGCACACAGGACAACAACAUCAGAACGUAACAAGAUGACUGAUGGGAUAACUGUGGUUCCCUUUCCUUGGGUAGGAUGAGGCCACCUACCACUACAGAACCUUCAAUACGGGGCCCAAACAUAACUGGCAGAAAUAUAGUGUUUAUAUAUAUAGAAAUUAAUUUUUUAAUCUUCUCAAUAAGUGAAAAAGAUCAGAUAAUCAAACUUGUGAAGUAAAAAAUUGAUGCUCUUUUUUUACUUGUACGUCUAUGUUUUUGUGAUACAAAUAAUUGGUAGUAGAAAUCUUCUGGGUCUCUUGUUUACUGUUUUAUAAAGUACUAUGCCAAUACCUGUGUGGCUGAUUCUGGAGGGUGUCUUGAUUUUGAUGGUGUGUUUCCAUGUGCAGAACAUAGUCACUUCAUUGGUGACAAUUGUGUGGUAAAACAAACUUUGUGUGCUGCCUAAAUGCAUGAUCCUUUGCCCUUUGGGAGCUUCGGUAUUUGAAUUAAAUUUUCUUCAUUAGUCUAUUAACAUUUUGUUUGGAAGGGUACAGCAUUAUCCCCAUCCACUACAGAAGCCAGCAGUUAGGCUACUCAGAAAGAUGGUUAUGCUUCCAGUAUGAGAGAGUUACAGGUUUCUCCAUCCAGGGUUAGCUCAGAGGGUCACUAUAGCAGCAGGAGGCACAGGCUCAGACAGUGAGCAAGCAGAAUGGAGUGAGGCAUCUGGAAAAAAAACAAAACAAGUACGCUGAACAUCUAAUUUGUUCUUGUUUUUGCGAGUUAAGUGAUGUAGGCAUAAAAACCAGAAUUUUCAGUUUGCAGCACCUAUGUUUGUCCUAAUAGGCCCCGCGCAUAAAUAGAUUCAGUGAAGUGCUUAAUGUAAGCUUUUCUAUGCUUGGAUUGGGCAAUCACAUGUUUCUCAGCUGAGUGCAAAUACAGUCCAUUAUUUUCUAAACGGGCUUGAAAUUCAUGAAUACAGCAAACACCCAAGAUGAAGUGGAUUAUCUCUUUCAUUUUCUAUGCCUGCUUUUCACCUUAGCAAUCUUCUUUCCUUCUAACUUAUUUUUAUCUUUAUGUAAUUUCCACACAUAUACAAAGGCUUCACUGUAUAUAGCUUUCUUGUUAUGCUCUAAUGUUCAGAGGUUUGUGAAACUGUUUCAGAAGAUGUGAGUAUACAAGAUCUUUGAAGUCUUGCUCAGAAUGAAAGGAGUUGCAGUGCUAUUACCAAUGCUGAUAUUUUGAUGAAGUGAUGCAUCUUCUGAUCCAAACAGGCUAUUCUGCAGUCUUUGCAUCUGAGACGUAAAUUUAUAUUUCUAAAUGUUUCUAAAUCUAUGUGACUACACAAAAUGUUUUAUAAUAGUUUUCUUUGUGUCUAAGUGUUUUGCUUUGUGUGGUGCCAGAUGAAGGACACUUUCUAAACUAGCAUAUGUUGUAGCAUUAUGUGUCUGAUCUGUAUGGAUUACCAUAGCUUCUUAAUCUGACUGUACAUAACUAUCUUAAAAGCUGUAUACUAAAAGGCUAAAGUGUAAUAUUUAGGGCACUUUGCAGGUAAAUGUGUAAUGUAUAUCUUAAGGUGGUAACCACAGCUGCAGCGACACUUCACAAUUAAUAAUAAUAAUAAUAA